rnacentral:rRNA from 1 species
AAUGAACGCUGGCGGCAGGCCUAACACAUGCAAGUCGAACGGGUCCUUCGGGACUAGUGGCGGACGGGGUGAGUAACGCGUGGGAACAUACCCUUUGGUACGGAAUAGCCUCGGGAAACUGAGAGUAAUACCGUAUGUGCUCGAGAGAGGAAAGAUUUAUCGCCAAAGGAUUGGCCCGCGUUGGAUUAGGUAGUUGGUGGGGUAAUGGCCUACCAAGCCGACGAUCCAUAGCUGGUUUGAGAGGAUGAUCAGCCACACUGGGACUGAGACACGGCCCAGACUCCCUACGGGAGGCAGCAGUGGGGAAUCUUAGACAAUGGGGGCAACCCUGAUCUAGCCAUGCCGCGUGAGUGAUGAAGGCCUUAGGGUUGUAAGCUCUUUCAGUGGGGAAGAUAAUGACGGUACC